rnacentral:rRNA from 1 species
CGUAGGGUGCGAGUGUUGUCCGGAAUUACUGGGCGUAAAGAGCUCGUAGGUGGUUUGUCGCGUUGUUCGUGAAAUCUCACGGCUUAACUGUGAGCGUGCGGGCGAUACGGGCAGACUAGAGUACUGCAGGGGAGACUGGAAUUCCUGGUGUAGCGGUGGAAUGCGCAGAUAUCAGGAGGAACACCGGUGGCGAAGGCGGGUCUCUGGGCAGUAACUGACGCUGAGGAGCGAAAGCGUGGGGAGCGAACAGGAUUAGAUACCCUGGUAGUCCACGCCGUAAACGGUGGGUACUAGGUGUGGG